AUAGAGACUCAGAGCUGCAUAUCAAUAAGCGGAGGAAAAGAAACUAACAAGGAUUCCCUUAGUAACGGCGAGUGAAGCGGGAAGAGCUCAAAUUUGAAAUCUUCAAGGUUUUACUUUGACGAAUUGUAGUUUAAAGAAGUGUUUUCUGCUGAAGUUUUGGUAAAAGUUCUUUGGAAUAGGACAUCAUAGAGGGUGAGAAUCCCGUAUUUGACCAUUAUUUUCAGCUUUGUGAUACACUUUCAAAGAGUCGGAUUGUUUGGGAAUGCAGUCCAAAAUGGGUGGUAAAUUUCAUCUAAAGCUAAAUAUUGGCGAGAGACCGAUAGCGAACAAGUACCGUGAGGGAAAGAUGAAAAGAACUUUGAAAAGAGAGUUAAACAGUACGUGAAAUAGUCAAAAGGGAAGCGUUUGACACCAGUGUUGUUUUCUCGAAAAUCAACUAAAAAUGGCUCGAUUUUGUAUUGUUGAGACCUUAAAAGCUCACUGUACAUUUUUCGUGUCUUUUUUAAUGCACUUUUCGUUUAACAAGUCAACAUCAUGUUUCUUUUGUUGUAAAAGGGUCAUUGGAAGGUGGCUUUCUUUUCGGAGAAAGUGUUUAUAGCCUUUUAGCCUCUGCAAUCGGAGAGAUUGAGGUCUGCAGCGUAGAUCCUUCGGGGCUAGAUACAUUUGUGUUAAGUUAUAGCUUUUCAUAGACAACUUGUUGACUAUGAUAAGUCAUGUAGCUUACUCGCUUAUGCUAUUUUACCUACGCUUAGGAUGUUGAGUAGCGACAUACGCAC
rnacentral:rRNA from 1 species